CGCGCGGGCCCGAGGCAGGAAGUGAAUCACUCCGCCGGCACCGGGGGCCGGGCGCGAGGCGGCCCCCCGUCGCUUAACUCCUUCCGCGCCGCGCUGCGCUCCGCUCCGCGCCGGGCGGGGAGGGAGGGACGGGGACGGGGGGGGACGCGGGGCACGGCUUAAAUGGGGAGCGAUUAGCGCCGGGGGAGCGCACGGCAGAGGUUAAACGGCGGCAGCCCGGCGGGACCACCCCGGCGCAGCCCGGCACGGCCCCCGCCGCCCCCGGGCCGCCGGUCCGGCUGCGCGGUGCCCGCUCCGCUCCGCUGCCCCGCCGGCAGCGGAGGCCCCGCUGCCCCGAGCCCUGCGUCUCCCGCCCGCCGCGGGCCGUGCGCCCCCGCGAUGCGAAGGAAACAACAAACCAAACCCCCUAAAAAUAAUGAUAAAAAAGCCCCAAAAGGCGCUUUCCGGCCUCCCCGCCGAUAAAUCCCGGUGGUGCCUCCUCAAAGUUUGCAAUGGGAAACACACGGGGCGCCGGCGCUGCGCAGCAGAAAUAAAAGAAGGCUUGCAGCUACCAGAAAGUCAUUAAGGCAUUAGUUUCUCUGAGAAGACAGAUCUGAAGAAAAUUCAAGAAAAUGAGAAAAUAGAUAUAAAUAAGGUGGAGCUGAAUACAAUGCCCGCAUUUGUGGUUAACUGCAAGCAAAACAUUAUGAAGAUGAUGGUAUUCAGACACAUACCCAAACAAUUGGAUUCAGACAAAUUGGAUGCAAGACUUUGACCAGCAUGCGAAGAACAGCCAGGCAUUAUGCAGACCAGCAGCACUGCGGACCUGCUGGAGGAGCUCAGCAGGAGAUCCAGCUCCACACCAAUGAUGUGUUUUGAAGAGAGGUCUGUGCUGGUCCAGCUCAUUGGAAACUUUUGUGUUCAAACCAGGAGGAUGCUAUAGAUGGAGCUAAUCUUGGACAGAUGCCCCGGCGCUAGAAAAGCAUCAUCCUAUGCAAUACCUCUUGGCAGCAUCUAAAAAAAGCCAGAGAUCUUCUAGACACAAAAGUAAGACUGGCUUCUCUUCUCAAAAGAAAUUUUGUUUAUGGCCACGCUGAAGCUCCUGGGCAAGGCUGCAUGGGGAAAGAUGCACAACCUCUGCGCCUGCUGUGCCUCGUGUGUGCACAAGGUUCUUGAAUCCCAGCGAGGAUGCACAGAGCUGAUCUCUACGUCUGUGAUAUCUGCUGCCACACACAGGAGAGGGCACUGAUGGACCCCUUGGUGUUGGAGCGGUGAAUUCGCAGCCGGGGAGGACAACAGCUUCUGCACGGUGCAGUGCAGGUUACAGACACGGGACCAAACACCUGCAGUGAACCUCCUCAGGUGAAAUUCUCCUCGGCUUCAAUCACGGUUUUUCCGGAGAAGAGACCACUGGCUGCGCUUAAGGCGAUCCACAUGUUCCUGGCUUAAGAGGCACUUAUAAUCUACUGCUAAGAGACUUAUUAGCAAUGUAAAAAUGAAUCUGAAGCAAGAAAAGUAUUCUUCCUAGAAUAAAUAUGUUUUUUGUAAAAUUAGUUUUGCUGACAGAAGUAAUUGUGCUAACUCCUUGUGACUAUGGAUGUUAUUUGUUGCCCCUUAUCUUACCGAAGCAAAGGGUGCCAAGUACUUUGAACUUUGUAAAUAACUGUUUCCAAAGUGUUGGCUUUUUUCUCUAUAAAUUCUUUAGAGAAAAGCUUGCCUCUAAUCCUUUUUCUUCCAAAGCUUUUACAGCUCAGCUUCUUCCCUCUCUACAUGUCUUUUAUUUCCCAUUUUCAGGUUUUAAUAUUUCUUAGAUAUUAUAAAAGUCUCUUUUAAGGGUAAAUAUAGACCUUUUGCUCAGAUUGGGAAAAUCAUUCCUAAAGCUUUAAUAAAUUGGAGAGAGAGAGAGGAAAAAAACCCAAAUGAACUUUAUUUCGCACUGCCACAGUUGCUGGGGCUGGGGCUUGGAGAUGAGCAUCUGAGAGCCCAAACCGUGACGCUGAUGCCCAGAACAGGGGUCCUGGCCAUCGGUCUUGCCGUUUUUUCUUGCUCCAGGCACCCAACGAGUGCAAACAGCUGGCAGAAAGGGUUGACCCUUCGUUUUUUGCUCAUGUCUUCUGGGCUGGAGAGGAGCUGGGAGCUGCUCUGCCCCCUCCAUCCCAACGCACCAGUGCUUGCUGUCCCCUCCAGCGCUGAGGAGAGGGGAACAGUUUUCCUGCAAUGACAAUUUUUCUAGGGUUUAUUUCACUUCUGCAGAUGCAGCAACAAAUAUUAACCCAGAAACAGGACAGAAAGCUUUCCCAGAGUGUGCAUUAUUAAAGCAGCGUCAGAGGCCUGCAGGAAAUCCAUGCUUAUUAUUUGCAUAAAUACAAGCAAACUCACGGAUGUGGGAAAACUGAAAUGCUGGAAACGCAAGAAGUGAUGUACUUCAUCACUCUGGGAAGUUGAACGGGAAUGUUUUUACUCAUCUGUCUAUCUGCUAUCUAUCUAUUUGCUUACUUAUUUUGGCAAAAGACACAAAUAAUGAGAAAUGUAUGUCUAACCAGAGCAGUUACUUUGCCGUGUGUUCUCGGAUGUGACAAGGAUGGGGAUGGUUUGGGCAUACAUAGAAUCAUAGAAUUGCCUAGGUUGGAAGAGACCUUUCAGAUCAUCCAGUCCAACCACCCACCUAGCUCUGACAAAAAACAUCACUAAACCAUAUCUCUAAGCACUAUGUCUACCCAUUUUUUAAAUACCGCCAGGGAUGGUACCUCAACCCCUUCCCUGGGCAGCCUGUUCCAAUGCUUAAUAACCCUUUCAGUGUAAAAAUUUUUCCUAAUAUCCAAUCUAAACCUCCCCUGGCACAACUUGAGGCCGUUUCCUCUUGUCCUAUCGCCUGUUACUUGGGAGAAGAGACCGACCCCCAUCUCUCUACAACGUCCUUUCAGAAAAAUAAAUGACAGCUUCCUGUGCUUGCAUUGCCACUGGAGCAGGGGUGGGUAUUAAAUCCCGGUCUUCAGCCUAAGGCAGCAACCUAAACCAGGGAGCAGCACAGCCCAGGCAUCCGUGGGCGACUUCUGGAGUUGCAGGAGCUUCAUAGAAGAUCCCAAAGGAAAGAUCCUUGUUGAGACACCUUGCUGUGUCAGUCUCAAACCAGGCACACAAAAACCCCAUGGCCAGUGUAGGGCUCGUCAGCCCUUUGUCUAGUCAAGAUCCAGCUGCUGUUGAGGGAUGCUGAUGUGUUUGUGCUGUGGUGCUGGUCCCCAGCUGUCCUCCAGCGCCAAGGGGGGGAAGGUAAUUCCUGCUGAGCACAGCGGUGAGACUUACUACUUGAGUCUUCAAGUGAGAACUUGAUGGUCGAGGCUCCCACCAAAACUGAUCUUCUCUCCUUCCCCUCUUCCAAAGCCAGCGGUUUCAUGUCUUAGAUGCCACCAGCAGCUCCCCAGGCACUUGGCUGAUGGUUUGCUCCCUGACCCAUCUGAAGUGCAAAGGAAUUUAAAAUUUCCAGAUUGUUUUUUUCUUCUUUAAAAAAAAAAGUUUAUGAUUUCUAAGAAGGCGCCUUACAGCAGAGCCCAAACAGGAAUGUUUGCGUUCGAUACCAUCCAUCCAUCAACGCCGCGACACGGAGGGAGCGGCUGCCCCGGCUCCUCGCGUGGCGGUGGACAGAAGGAGCUGUCAGGGAGCCACGUGUGGCCGCCGCACCGAGCCGGGCGGGAGCCGUGCUGGCAGAGAUCCCUCCCGCAGAGGGGAUUUCUGCGCUGACAAUUUUUGGCUCCUUUAGGUUACUUUAGAGCUGCACGGAAUAUGUAAUGUUCUGCACCCGCGGAGGGGCUGACAGGGAACUUAAAUACAGAUUGCAAAGAUAGAUCAUCUCCCAGCAUCACUUUGUUUUCUGCUGCUCUAAAAUCAUUUUACUUGUUCCUGCAGCUCCUAUAAAGCCAGAAGAGCUCUCUAUAUUUGCUUCCCGGAUGCCUUUUUCUCCUCUGCUAACAACUAGAAAAGCAGCUUUUCAUGCUCCAAAUCAGAGAUAAAUUAAAAUCGCUGCUGAAGAAAUAAAACACAAGGCUAAUCAAAUUGUAGCACAGGAAGCAGUCUUCAUCCAGUGCAUUUUUUGAGAGCUAUUUUUAGAAUAUAUUUUUAUUUUGUCACUCCAUAUGGGAAGUCAAAUCCAUAUGGUUUGGGAGAAUGGAAGGUUGUGCUUUUAUAGGGAUCUCACAAACCAUCCCUGCUCUGCCACGUACUUAAAUGUGUGCUUAAAUCCAAUUGUCUGCGAUGGGACUGGGGCACGUGAACUCCUCGUGACUGGGGCCUCGGGCCCUGUCUGAGGUUGUAAGAGUAUUACUCCCUCCUGAGAUGUAAAACUAUUCUAUAUUCGUUAAAUUGGUCUCCAGUUAACUUGGAUCUUCUUAAUUACGACUUUUCUUA